GACGAAAGCUGGCGGAGUGCUUAACACAUGCAAGGAGAACGAGUAGCGAAAGGGUGAGUAACGAGUAGGUAACUACCUAUUAGAGGGGGAUAACUAUUGGAAAAGAUAGCUAAUACCGCAUACUAGGAGAUGGAACUGCGUUGUAUUAGCUAGUAGGUAGGGUAAAGGCCUACCAAGGCAACGAUACAAAGCCGACCUGAGAGGGUGAUCGGCCAAACGGGGACUGAGACACGGCCCAGACGCCUACGGGAGGCAGCAGUAGGGAAGCUUCGGCAAUGGGGGGAACCCUGACCGAGCAACGCCGCGUGAGUGAAGAAGGUUUUCGGAUCGUAAAGCUCUGUUGUUAAGGAAGCGGUACUUAACCAGAAAGGGACGGCUAACUACGUGCCAGCAGCCGCGGUAAUUC
rnacentral:rRNA from 1 species